rnacentral:rRNA from 1 species
GCCCUUGCUCAGUAACACGUGGAUAACAUGCCCUGAAGUGGAGGAUAAUCUCGGGAAAUUGAGGAUAAUACUCCAUAGAUCAUAGGAUCUGGAAUGACUUAUGGUCGAAAGUUCCGGCGCUUCAGGAUUGGUCUGCGGCCUAUCAGGUCGUAGUGGGUGUAACGGACCCACUAGCCGACGACGGGUAUGGGCCUUGAGAGAGGGAGCCCAGAGAUGGAUUCUGAGACACGAAUCCAGGCCCUACGGGGCGCAGCAGUCGCGAAAACUUCACACUGGAGGCAACUCCGAUGAGGGAAUUCCUAGUGCUAGCACAUUAGUGCUAGCUUUUCUUAAGCGUAGAUAACUUAAGGAAUAAGGGCUGGGUAAGACGGGUGCCAGCCGCCGCGGUAAUACCCGCAGCCCAAGUGGUGGUCGAUUUUAUUGAGUCUAAAACGUUCGUAGCCGGUUUGGUAAAUCCUUGGGUAAAUCGAGAGGCUUAACUUUUCGAAUUCCGAGGAGACUGCCAAACUUGGGACCGGGAGAGGCGAGAGGUACUUCUGGGGUAGGGGUAAAAUCCUGUAAUCCUAGAAGGACCACCGGUGGCGAAGGCGUCUCGCUAGAACGGAUCCGACGGUGAGGGACGAAGCCCUGGGUCGCAAACGGGAUUAGAUACCCCGGUAGUCCAGGGUGUAAACGCUGCAGACUUGGUGUUGGGGGCCCUACGGGGGCGUUCAGUGCCGGAGAGAAGUUGUUAAGUCUGCUACUUGGGGAGUACGUCCGCAAGGAUGAAACUUAAAGGAAUUGGCGGGGGAGCACAAGGGC